CCAAAGGCUCUUUUCAGAGCCACCCACGUUUUCUGGGGAGAGCUGU
rfam:Pteropus alecto contig104267, whole genome shotgun sequence.